rnacentral:rRNA from 1 species
UACGGGGGGAGCAAGCGUUGUUCGGAUUUACUGGGCGUAAAGGGCGCGUAGGCGGCCAGCGCAAGUCAGUUGUGAAAUCUCCGGGCUUAACUCGGAAAGGUCAACUGAUACUGCGCGGCUAGAGUGCAGAAGGGGCAACUGGAAUUCUCGGUGUAGCGGUGAAAUGCGUAGAUAUCGAGAGGAACACCUGCGGCGAAGGCGGGUUGCUGGGCUGACACUGACGCUGAGGAGCGAAAGCGUGGGGAGCGAACAGG